UGUAACUUCAUAAAACACCUAUUGAGAAUGUUACAUCGGCAGAGUAAAUUUAAAAUAAAAGAUAAAUAAAAUACUUCAAUUUCAGAUAUAAACGUUAUAUUUGUUCGGAAUAGGAAUAAUUUCCCCCCUGCCAAACAAAUAAAACUAAAAAUAAGUUCGCAUAUAGCCUAUAGGCCUAUAGUUUUAUUUUUCCGUGAUCGGGAUCGCGGGCCCCGCGGGGUUUUCUGAAAGUGUACACGGGGAACACACGUGUUUCCGUUUCAACGAAAACAACACAGCUUCACUGUAACAGCGAAGGCUUGUAUUUUACAUCUUUAAAGCGACCUGAUGUCAGAAGAAGAUGCCCUGGAAUUUAUGUUGCAGGAUGACCCAAACGAUCAUGCAUUCAGUAUAAACAUGUACAUGGUAUUGACAUCCCAAUAUUUAGUGGGAAGUUCCCAGGUAUCGCCCGCUAGUGACAGUCUGCUGGCAAAUCCAGGCAUGCGAUGGAAGGAUGCUUAUGUGAAGGACACAGGGACACCUGAUCCAAGAACUGUGGCAUUUUAUUCAGAGUGACAACCUGACAUUCAGUUGAUAUGGGACCCGAUUAUUCAGAGAACUGCAGAUUUUAGGAAGCUGUUUUUGACAGAAGAUUUGGUUUUCUCCAUCUGUAUUGCCACCAACCAUUAUGCUGAGAUGGUCAUAUCUAGGGGGAAGGAUUGUCAUUAUGCUUCCCAAGGAAGUUCGCAUCCUCUCACUGAAGAGUAAUUGUACAGAUUUUUGUGCAUUAUCUUAUACAUGUUUGCUGUGAAGUUCCAGUCGAUAGACAGAUAUUGGUCAAUGCAUGCCCCUAUCGGAACAACCCAGUACAGUGUAUCAGGAAUGAUGUCUAGAAAUAAGUUUUAAAAGGUUGAAUAUAAGAACAUUUUGUUAAAUAUGAUGAAAGUACAUUUAAAUCUAGUGAUUGAAAGUUAGUACUUGAACAUUCGUAUACGUUGAACUUACAGAGGAAAAACGGGUAGUACUUUUUGAUAACAGUUAAUAAGGUGCUGUAACUCCUGUUGCUUAGCAACCAAAUAUAUUUGAAUGCAAAAAAUUUAAUUAUUUUAGAUUAACAAUAAAGAUCUUUGUUUUAAUGUUGCAACAUUUAUUCUAUUUAGUGGAACAUAAUGGCAAAACGUCAUAUUAUUAGAAAAUGAUGGAUAUGUACAAUGUAUAUAAAAGUACAAAGUUUCCAUUUUAUGACCUUUGACCUUAAUUCUCUUCAUCAUAUUUUUUGUUAAAAACCUUUUAAAAUGAUUAAAAUUUAUUUAAAGAUUAUAUUUUUAAAAUAAUGUGACAUUUACUAAUCAACACUCAGUGUAAUUGUGUUUAAAUUGUGUCAAAUGUAUGUAGAAAGGCAAAUUAUGGUCAAAAUUGUACUACGAAUGUUGUUACUUAGCAACCAAAAAUAUUUGUUUGUCAAUAAAAUUGAUUAAUUUGAU